rnacentral:rRNA from 2 species
UGCCAGUGAUAAACUGGAGGAAGGUGGGGAUGACGUCAAGUCAUCAUGGCCCUUACGAGUAGGGCUACACACGUGCUACAAUGGCGCAUACAAAGAGAAGCGACCUCGCGAGAGCAAGCGGACCUCAUAAAGUGCGUCGUAGUCCGGAUUGGAGUCUGCAACUCGACUCCAUGAAGUCGGAAUCGCUAGUAAUCGUAGAUCAGAAUGCUACGGUGAAUACGUUCCCGGGCCUUGUACACACCGCCCGUCACACCAUGGGAGUGGGUUGCAAAAGAAGUAGGUAGCUUAACCUUCGGGAGGGCGCUUACCACUUUGUGAUUCAUGACUGGGGUGAAGUCGUAACAAGGUAACCGUAGGGGAACCUGCGGUUGGAUCACCUCCUUA